rnacentral:tRNA from 1 species
GGCCCUUUAGCUCAAUAGGUUAGAGCGAGCGACUCAUAAUCGCGUGGUUACUGGUUCGAGUCCAGUAGGGGCCACCA